UGAGAGGUUUUGCGCUUUCUGGCGGAGGGU
rnacentral:piRNA from 1 species